rnacentral:rRNA from 1 species
UACGGAGGGGGCUAGCGUUGUUCGGAAUUACUGGGCGUAAAGCGCGCGUAGGCGGACCUGCAAGUCGGGGGUGAAAGCCCGAGGCUCAACCUCGGAACUGCCUUCGAUACUGCGGGUCUCGAGUCCGGGAGAGGUGAGUGGAAUUCCUAGUGUAGAGGUGAAAUUCGUAGAUAUUAGGAAGAACACCGGUGGCGAAGGCGGCCAACUGGACCAUUACUGACGCUGAGGCGCGAAAGCGUGGGGAGCAAACAGG